ACUCUAUCUCGAACUCUAUCUCCCUAGCAGGUGGUAAACCUGGAAGUUCGUCUGGAAAAACAUCUUGAAAUUCUCUGACAACUGGCACCGAGGCUGGCUCCCUGACCUGACUGUCUAGCUCUCUCACAUGAGCCAAAUACCCCUGACAUCCCUUCCUAAGCAACCUACGAGCCUGGAGAGCUGAUAUCAGACCUCUAGGUGUACCCCUCUUGUCUCCUCUGAAGACGACCUCUGACCCGUU
rnacentral:lncRNA from 1 species